GACAGAGGUGCCGAGCGUUAGGCGGAAUCACUGGGCUUAAAGCGUGUGUAGGCGGGCCGUUAAGUGCCCCCGUGAAAUCCCCCGGCUCAACCGGGGAACGGCGGGGCAUACUGGCGGCCUUGAGACACCUAAGGGGCGAGCGGGAACAGGCGGUGGAGCGGUGAAAUGCGUAGAUAUCGCCUGGAACGCCGACGGUGGAAAACAAGCUCGCUGGGGGUGUUCGUGA
rnacentral:rRNA from 1 species